CCUACGGGAGGCAGCAGUGGGGAAUAUUGGACAAUGGGCGCAAGCCUGAUCCAGCAAUGCCGCGUGUGUGAAGAAGGCCUUCGGGUUGUAAAGCACUUUUAUCAGGAGCGAAAUCUGCAUGCUUAAUACGUGUGCAGUCUGACGGUACCUGAGGAAUAAGCACCGGCUAACUUCGUGCCAGCAGCCGCGGUAAUACGAAGGGUGCAAGCGUUAAUCGGAAUUACUGGGCGUAAAGGGUGCGUAGGCGGUUCGUUAAGUCUGUCGUGAAAUCCCCGGGCUCAACCUGGGAAUGGCGAUGGAUACUGGCGAGCUAGAGUGUGUCAGAGGAUGGUGGAAUUCCCGGUGUAGCGGUGAAAUGCGUAGAGAUCGGGAGGAACAUCAGUGGCGAAGGCGGCCAUCUGGGACAACACUGACGCUGAAGCACGAAAGCGUGGGGAGCAAACAGGAUUAGAUACCCUGGUAGUCCACGCCCUAAACGAUGCGAACUGGAUGUUGGUCUCAACUCGGAGAUCAGUGUCGAAGCUAACGCGUUAAGUUCGCCGCCUGGGGAGUACGGUCGCAAGACUGAAACUCAAAGGAAUUGACGG
rnacentral:rRNA from 1 species